GUUAAAAAGAAACAGUUUAACAGGUCAGCCAAGUCUAGAUGUGUCAGGUCCGCUCGGCGCGACCUGCCUCUCUUCCGCCUUCCUCUCCCCUGUUCUCUCGACCAGCGGGAUUCGCACCUCAGCUGCGUGGCAUUCGUAAUUAGCGAUUCGUUUCUCGGUGCACACAGCUGGGGUGCAUCCCGCUGAUUGACUUCCUCCUUAUUUAUACCUCUGGCAGACGCUCUGCCGUCGCAUUACCCAAAGUACCGCACUUAUAGUUUGUAACAACCGUAAAGUGCAUACCACGUAACAACACUACACUCGUGGUAUGUAUUGUUUGUCAUUUGGUUUUCCACGCUGACAGUACCUGUGCUGUGGGUCGCCUUAUGUACGUUGGUUAUUUUUUGUGUGUUUUUAGAAGACCGCUGACAGUUCCUGUGCGGUUUUUUUUUUUUCGUCGUUCGCCACUUUAUUUUUUUCACCUGUCCGUCCCCAUUCUCCUACUUUCUUAAUUCCUGCCAUUAGCUUGUCUUCUUCCCUGGUUGUCCUGGUGUCCUCAACCAUCUGUGCUUUACCCAGGCUCACCUGGGUCAGCCCAAUUGAGUCCAACCUCAGUUCUCCCUCCUUCCCUGGUGAGGGGGACUCAAACAUAACAAGAUGGGUUGACUGUUUGGCUGGCUGUUUUUCUUUCCCCUUAAAGGCAGAGCCAGCAGGCACACAGACUCACAGGAGAUUGAAGCUCUGAAUAACAGUUUCUAUGGAGAGCUGCCACAGUGUGUUACAGCUGUCGUCCACCGCUGUGGAUGGGAAGAGUGUCUGGCAGGUUUCGAUUCACACCAGACUCUGCCUCCACAUCUCCUCUUGCCUCGCCUUGACUUCUUGUCAAACAACACCUGACAGCAAUGACAGGUGCAAGAGGAAGAGAUAUGGAUGACACUGACUGAUAUGAGGAUGACCAUGAUGCUGUGGCCUUCCCAGUUACCAGGUCUCAUCCCAGUUGAACAGCUAUGGGAGAGUUUGGAGCGACGUGUUUCACAGCGUCUCCACCACCAUCAUCAAAACAACAUGAGGGAACAUCUGUUGGACGAACGGUGUUCAUCUCAGACUUGGAGAGUCAGUGCCAAGAAACUGUCCUCAUGCUCAGAGAAAUGAGAGAGGGACUUCACUGAAGAGAAAUAAACAUCCUGCAGUAUGGGAAAGUUUCUUAUUGGGUGGACACACAUGCUUUGGAAAUGUGUUAAAAUACUGCAGUCAAGCUGAAUACAGCAGUAGAUUUAACCUCUUUUCUCCAUAAAACACAAUGUAUCUUGGGUCAUAGCCAGAAAGUCCACAUUUUCAUUUCCCUUGGGUGUUUUGGUUUUUAUUUUUAAUUAUGGUUCAUUGUUUUUCCAUUUAAUUUGAUAUUUAAGAAUAUUUCCUUGUUUUUAACUAAAUCAUAUAUUAUGAUGGGAGAAGAUAUUUUAGACUGUCAUUAUCAUACUCUGUAUUGUUCAAUAAUCAAAGCUGUUUUCUCAUUUAAGUGUGAAUAAAGAAUAAAUGUCAGCAAAUAACUGCAUAGUAAACAAUUCUUUGCUGCAAGUAAUAGUGUGAUUUAUAUACAUAUAGUGCACAGUGACCUUUUGGAAAAUGUUUGUGUGGAAAUGGUGCUUCAUUUAAAUUGAUUUUCACACAGCCCCAU